rnacentral:lncRNA from 1 species
UCCGCCCGAAGCUUAAUGGAUGAAGAUCCGCUCCAGCCGGUCAUUGUCACCACAGGGGCAGGCCCCAAUCGUCUCCGAGGUCACCUAAUUCAUCUCUGUGGCAUUCUGCACCCGUCGGUGAUCUCUACGUAGCCGAAGGGCCCCUGUAGCCGUCGCUCGCAUCACUACCAAGCCGCCCGUGCCGUUCUUCUCCAAGUCCGGCGACCACCCAGACCCUGUUUCUGGUGAGCAAUCCCAUCCGUUCGAUCUCUCUCUGACGUCCGAGAUUAGAUCGCCCAUAUUUUUUCUCGAAACGUUUUCCUUUAAUUUGCACCAGUUCACCGUUUAGACUUUAGACCUUGCAGCGAACAGCUUCCCAGCAAGCACUGGGUGCCACGUGGCACAUCCACAGCAGCAGUGGUAGUUCUUCCCAGAACGCUGUUAUGGUAUAAUUUUCUUUGCACAUUUCAUAUCACAUUUUCAUUUUGGUAUAUCUUGAGAUCUAUAACACCAAAUUCAUCGAUUCUUUUUCCUGUGUACUCACAUUGACCAGGGGCAUAUAGUAGAUCCAAAUUUUCAUAUUUUUGAACUGUUUAAAUUUGAAUUUGCUCAAAUUUGAAUUUAACCUUUCAGAGGUCGUAUCUUUCAAACCAUUGAUCAAAAUUAGUUGAUUCUUUUUGCAUUGUGAUCUUACUAGAAUCUAGAUAAUAUAUACCUACUGAUAUGUUUCUGUUAUUGGAGUUUUAUUUGAAUUCCUUGUUGUUUACUUCAUUUUAUUGUUAUGUGAAUAUUGUUUAUUUAUUUGUGCCUUCUUUAAUCGUAUAGAUUGUCCGGAGUGUGAGGCGGAUCGGAAUUAAUCGUUAGAGUACUUCAGCAUCGUUCUAGGCAAGUUUGCACUUUUGAUUAUGCCCAUCCUAUAUUUCUACUAUGCAUGGGUGGUUUUUAUGCUAGGACUUGUGCUUGGUUUGAUCUGUAUGUUCUCUAUUGUCAUAUUCUGAUAUUGAUUGUAUUAUGUGAUGGUGUGAUCAACUUGCUAUGAUAGAACAAUAGAGUGAUCCAUGAAAGUGGUGAGUGUUUAUAGUCGUAGGCUCGAGAUUAUUAACCAGGUGAAUGCAUCACUGGCAGAGCGCUCUAUUGUCCCUAGAGAACGCGUCAUUGACAUAGCGCACUCGAGGCGAGGUAUAGUUUUCGGAACAUAAAUCAGGUGAAUGUGUCCUUGGCAGAGCGCUCUAUUGUUCCUAGAGAAUGCGCCACCGACAGAGCGCACUUGAGAGACUUCUGGAGUUCUUGUCAUGUUUUCUUUGAAUCUUUGGGGUUAUCAUGGGCGAAUAAAUUAGAUAUGGUUGUGAGUUCAAUUAGUAGAGGUAGGUGAAGACAUUCUUCUCCAAAUUAUCUUGUGUGUUUUGUUUGUCAUACUUUACUUGUGGAUGUAGGUUUGCUAUAUCAUUAUGUGUGAUUUGCCAAUACAUUCAAUGUAUUGACCCUUGUGGCUGCAACUUGUCAUAUUGCAAGAUUUUCAGAUGAUCAGUGAGAUACAGUAGGGUCGCGAGUCUUCACUCAGCAUUUUCGCCAAUGGGUCAUUGAUGAGACUCAUCGUUUGUUAUGCUACAUUUCCGAUGUUGUUAUUGAAUAAAGAUAGCUAUGUGCUUCUCAGUUUGUAAUACUUUAUGAAUUCUGGAUCAUAUAUUAUAGUAAAUGAUGCACUUGUUAUUUGAUAUUCAUAUGUACUGUGUGCGCUAGCAAGUCAAUCCAGGGACUAGCACAGUGAGCACAGAGACAUCGAAUCUUAUCAGGCUCGGGUCGUUACAGAUGGUAUCAGAGUAGUGUGUUGACUGUAGGUCGUGACCCUAAAAAUGGAUUAGGAAUGCCCUAGGAGUCAAAAGCUUACUUUACAACUUGUUGUCUAGUUUUUAGUUGAUACUCUUGUAUUCAUAUCUUUUCUUUUCAAGUAUAGAUGACCAAUGUAGUUAUACUAGUCUUACUUGAGGAGUUUUAGUUGAUAGACCACCAUUACUAAGUUUUGUUUGAUAAACAAUUUGCAGUAGUAUGAUGAGAUCAUAUCUCUCGUGGGUAUGACCUUACCUAUAGGUUUUGCUUGUGUUGUUUGAAUUGUUUGAUUUGGGAGUUUUGUUGCUAGCAUGAUGCAUAUGGGUAGAGUUUUCCCCUUAGAUCUUUAUUCUGUCUAUAUCCUAAUCUCUGCUGCAACAUAGGGAUGAGUUCAAGUUUAACCACAUGCGCCAGGAUCCGACAUGAAGCAAGCACAAUCUUGCUGAAGGAAGAACCCUAGAGGAAGCUAUACUUCAUUAGUAGAUGUUUUAUAGUAGUUGACGCAAACUCGAGAGUUGAAAGGAACACUAGAUUGUUUUGUGGGCAUGCAACACCAAUGGAAUUAUCUGAACUAGAGGAAGCUGUACAUCAUUAGUAGAUAUUUUAUAGUAGUUGAUGCAAACUCGAGAGUUGAAAGGAACGCUAGAUUGCUUUGUGGGCAUGCAACACCAAUGGAAUUAUCCGAACCCAGUUCGUGAACAAGAGAAGUGUCUGCAAAGUUCGCGAGGAUGCCCGAGUGUUAGAAUGCGAGAUUUUCUAAACCAUAUACAAAGUAAUGAUUUGGGUGCGGAAUGGAUUGAUCACCAUAUGCCGACUUACUCUUAUUAUUCGCUUUUGCUAUGUGAGAUGGUUAAUCUAGAGUGACUUACCUAUAGUAGAGAGACGUCGUUGUUAAGCCUGAAUCUUAGAAUGGUAUGACGUUUGACUCUUGUAGAAGGCAGUCGUUGCCAAUAGUAGGUUAUACGGUGAGAAUAAACCAAGCCUCUUUUCUGUAGGAACCAUUCUUGAUGACCCCCAUGAGAGUAUCGAUAUUGUUUAUUAUUGGCGCAAGACCUGUCAACUAUGAAGGCCCAGGAAUUGGAAGAUCACUCUUUGCAAAGUAUCCAAUCAAGAUCACAAAAGGAGUGUAUGGCUUGUAAUUUGAGGACGUCAUCGAAGGAGCAACAUUCUUGAAAACCGACAACUCUUAUUCUAAGGGUGGUAGCACGUCAGCCUCUCGGAUGAUCAAUGCGAAAUUCAAGGAGAAUGCCAAACUAACCUCUUCUUUCUAGCCUCUUCAAAUCUCGAGGACGAGAUUCAUUUUAAGGGUGGUAGAUUUGUAACAUCCCAAAUUUUCUAAAUUUGGAAUGUUAAUAGAUCAUUCAUAUUUUGAUGCCAUGUUUGUCUUUUUCUUAAUAUUUGGUUCAUUAUUCAACUCAAGGAAAAAUAUUGGAGAGGAUAUAACAUGACUUAUCCCCUGUUAAAAAAAUGUUGAUACCGUUCAUAAUAUUAUUUGGGGUUCAUAGGAUUAUUUUUGUAAAUAUAGAAUCUCAAACUAUUUUAUAUAUUGUUAUGAUGCUCUUUGUGGUCUUGUAUUGCAUAAAACAGUUCUCCCAAAAUUUCAAUAGAGUUAUAAAAAUGUUCACUGUUUUAUACAGUAGUUAUAAUAUUGGUCUGUGUAUUAUGAUACUUUUUAUAUGACGUACUCUGGUAUUUUCUUUUAGCCAAUACCUUCCCUUUAUAUUAUACCAUUUUGUUUUGUUUUUUUGUUUUGCCAGAAGAUACUCUAUUUAUUUAUUUUCAUCGCCCGCGUGUGUUACACGCGCAGUAGCACCGGCAGACCAGCAGGCCGGCCCAUUCCCCGCUCAGGACGAAGCCCAAAACCGCAACCCUUUUCCUUCUGUUUUUUUCUCUCUUUUCUUCUUUCCCCCGCUGAAAGGGAUGGCCCGCACGUCAUCUUCCUCCACUGUCGUCUUCUUCCUGGAGAGCACUCCCGAUCGAAAUCCUCCUCGUUUCAGCUUGGAUCUUUUCUCUCCCGGACGCCCUACUUACCUACAAAUAUUGCUCUACCUCCUGUCCAUCGAUUUUUCACAAAUUUUUCACCUACCGUGCCCUAGAGCACCCGGUCGGAUCUCGCCAGAGUUCGCCGUUGCAGGAGCGCCCAGCUGUCGAUUUCGUCGCGUAUGUAGGUUCCCAGCACCUACUUCCCCUAUGGUUCGAUUCGCCUUGGUCUCCUCUCUCUCCCCCAUCUCUUAUUCUGCGCAGGGAGACACCGCAUUGAGCCCUAGGACCUCCGCCUGAAGCUUAAUGGAGGCAGCUCCGCUCCAGCCAGUCACUGUCACCAUAGGAACAAGCCUGAAUCGUCUCCAAGGUCACCUAAUUCAUCUCUGUGGCGUUCUGCACCCGUCAGUGAUCUCUACGUUGCUGGAGGGCGCCUGUAGCCGUCGCUCGCAUCACUACCGACCCGCCCACGCCGUUCUUUUCCAAGUCCAGCGACCACCCAGACCCUGUUUCCGGUGAGCAACCCCAUCCGUUUGAUCUCUCUCUGACGACCAAGAUUAGAUCGCCCAUAUUUUUUUCUUGAAACGUUUUCCUUUAAGUUGCACCCGUUCGCCGUUUAGACCUUGCAGCGAACAGCUUCCCACCAAUCACCGGGUGCCACGUGGCACAUCCACAGCAGCAGCGGUAGUUCUUCCUAGAAUGUUGUUAUGGCAUAAUUUUUCUUUGCACAUUUCAUAUCAUAUUUUCAUUUAGGUAUAUCUUGAGAUCUGUAACUCGAAAUUCAACGAUUCUUUUUCCUGUGUACUCAUAUUGACCAGGAGCAUCUAGUAGAACCAAAAUUUCAUAUUUUUGAACUGUUUAAAUUUGAAUUUGCUCAAAUUUGAAUUUAACCUUCUGGAGGUAGUAUCUUUCAAACCAUUGAUCCAAAUUAGUUGAUUCUUUUUUGCAUUGUGAUCCUACUAGCAUCUAGAUAAAGUAUACCUACUGAUAUGUUUCUAUUAUUGGAUUUCUAUUUGAAUUCCUUGUUGUUCACUUUAUUUUAGUGUUAUGUGAAUAUUGUUUAAUUAUUUGUGCCUUCGUUAAUCAUAUAGAUUAUCCGGAGUGUGAGGCGGAUCAGAAUUAAUCAUUAGAGUACUUCAGCACCAUUCCAGGCAAGUUUGCACUUUUGAUUUUGCCCAUCCUAUAUUUUCUGCUAUGCAUGUGUGGUUUUUAUGCUAGGACAUGCGCUUGGUUUGAUCUGUAUGCUCUUUGUUGUCAUAUUCUGAUAUUGAUUGCAUUAUGUGAUGGUGUGAUCAACUUGCAUGGUAGACUUGGGCAUGUGUCGAGUGAUCCCUGAAAGUGGUGAGUGUUUAUAGUCGUAGGCUCGGGAUUAUUAACCAGGUGAAUGCAUCACUGACACAGCGCUCUAUUGUCCCUAGAGAAUGCGCCAUUGACAGAGCGCAUUUGAGGAGGUAUAGUUUUCAAAACAUAAAUCAGGUGAAUGCGUCCUUGGCAGAGCGCUCUAUUGUUCCUAGAGAAUGCGCCACCUAUAGAGCGCACUUGAGAGACUUCUGGAGUUCUUGUCAUGUUUUCUUUGAAUCUUUGGGGUUAUCAUGGGCGAAUAAAUUAGAUACGGUUGUGAGUUUAGUUAGUGGAGGUAGGUGAAGACAUUCUUCUCCAAACUAUCGUGUGUGAUUUGUUUGUCAUACUUUACUUGUGGAUGUAGGUUUGCUAUAUCAUUAUGUGUGAUUUGCCAAUACAUUCAAUGUAUUGACCCUUGUGGCUGCAACUUAUCAUGUUGCAGGAUUUUCAGAUGAUCAAUGAGAUAAGGUAGGGUCGUGAUUCUUCACUCAGCAUUUUCGCCAGUGGGUCAUUGAUGAGACUCGUCGUUUGUUAUGCUACAUUUCUGCUAUUGUUAUUGAAUAAAGCUAGCUAUGUGCUACUCAGUUUGUAAUACUUUAUGAAUUCUGGAUCAUACAUGAUAGUAAAUAAUGCGUUUGUUAUUUGAUAUUCAUACGUACUAUGUGUGCUAGCGAGUCAAUCCAGGGACUAGCAUAGUGAGCACAGAGACAUCAAAUCUUAUCAGGUUCGGGUCAUUACACCAUUGGGUCGUUCCAUGUAAAUUUCCUCCUCCAACUCUCCAUUUAGGAAAGUUGUCUUAAUAUCCGUUUGAUGAACGAGAAGAUUGUGUG